rnacentral:rRNA from 1 species
UACGUAGGGUGCGAGCGUUAAUCGGAAUUACUGGGCGUAAAGCGUGCGCAGGCGGUGGCUCAAGCCAGGCGUGAAAUCCCCGGGCUUAACCUGGGAAUGGCGUUUGGGACUGGGUCGCUAGAGUGUGGCAGAGGGAGGUGGAAUUCCACGUGUAGCAGUGAAAUGCGUAGAGAUGUGGAGGAACACCGAUGGCGAAGGCAGCCUCCUGGGCCAGCACUGACGCUCAUGCACGAAGCGUGGGAGCAAACAGG